rnacentral:rRNA from 1 species
UGGGGAAUAUUGGACAAUGGGCGAAAGCCUGAUCCAGCCAUGCCGCGUGUGUGAAGAAGGCCUUCGGAUUGUAAAGCACUUUAAGUUGGGAGGAAGGGCAGUAAGUUAAUACCUUGCUGUUUUGACGUUACCGACAGAAUAAGCACCGGCUAACUUCGUGCCAGCAGCCGCGGUAAUACGAAGGGUGCAAGCGUUAAUCGGAAUUACUGGGCGUAAAGCGCGCGUAGGUGGUUUGUUAAGUUGGAAGUGAAAGCCCCGGGCUCAACCUGGGAACUGCUUUCAAAACUGGCAAGCUAGAGUAUGGCAGAGGGUGGUGGAAUUUCCUGUGUGGCGGUGAAAUGCGUAGAUAUAGGAAGGAACACCAGUGGCGAAGGCGACCACCUGGGCUAAUACUGACACUGAGGUGCGAAAGCGUGGGGAGCAAAACAGGAUUAGAUACCCUGGUAGUCCACGCCGUAAAACGAUGUCGACUAGCCGUUGGGCUCCUUGAGAGCUUAGUGGCGCAGCUAACGCAUUAAGUCGACCGCC